rnacentral:rRNA from 1 species
CAAUAGCGUAUAUUAAAGUUGUUGCAGUUAAAAAGCUCGUAGUUGGAUUUCUGGAUGGAGCGACCGGUCGGGCAUUAAUUUGUCUGCACUGGAGUCGGUUCCGUCCAUCCUCUUGGAAAGUGCGUGGGGCAUUAAGUUGUCUGGCGUAUGAUCCAAGUCGUUUACUGUGAAAAAAUUAGAGUGUUUAAAGCAGGCCUUCGCCUUGAAUACAUUAGCAUGGAAUAAUAAGAUAGGACUUUGGUCUAUUUUGUUGGUUUGCAGACCGAAGUAAUGAUUAAUAGGGAUAGUUGGGGGUAUUUAUAUUCCGAUGUCAGAGGUGAAAUUCUUAGAUUUUCGGAAGAUAAACUUAUGCGAAAGCAUUUACCAAGGAUGUUUUCAUUA